CUCUCUGUUUUCUCUCCUCCUCCCGGGGAUCGAGCCGGCCGGGACUGGCGCCUGGGGCUGAGACUCCGAUAAGUGGUGUGUUCGAGGCUGCCCGGCUCGGGGGCGGCAUGGUCAGCCUUUCCGGGUGGCCCCGCUGCCUCGAAGCCUUCACUUAACAAGCGCACGAUGGCAGGAAAGAAGGGAAGAGUUGUUCAAGCCCAUCGGAUCUGCCUAGAGAGUUUUCAGCGCGCCCCUUUGAGGGACCGGAGAGGUGGUGCCUCUCCAAACCAGGGGCCACGGUGAACGGGACGGCUUUGGAUUUGGGAGAAAAGGAUUCUCCAACCGCCUAGCGCCAAUUUAAAAAGAAAUGAUGAUGAUGAUUGUUUUAAACAAGUCUUUCUCACUUUGAAUUUGGAAGCAGAUGCUUCUCCAUGUUUCUAUGGGACAGCUGGACUCCUUGGCAGGCAUUGAUUAGGAACUGACAGCAGAGACCCGAGUUUGUGGAUGUUCGGGCUGUUGGAACAGGAAUGGUUUGUGGUUCUGAGAGUUUCUGGAGGUUAUUACAAAAUCCUGAGUACUGUUCCCUGUGCUGUGUGGAGGAUGCCGGCCGGCUGGCCAUGCUUGGCGAUCACCUCCAGGAUGAAGGCCUGCAUGGUGGCCUCCAGCGCUUGGUCCGUGAUGCUGGCUUCAUCCAGCCGCAGCUUCUCCCCACGGGACUUGGACCAGGCCUGACGCAUGGCCUGGGGGAUGAUGCGGGUCUCCUCACCGCAGCGCACUUCCAGCUUCACAGCAGCGUAUGGAAGAUUGGACUAGGGAGUCUAAUCAGAGCUGCAGCUGCCAGUCUCCACCACAGCAGAGGCAACACUGGACCCGAAGCCGCCUCUGCAAACUGUUUCAUGGCUCGUGGCAAUGCCAGAUCCUUAAUCCACUGAGCAAGGCCAGUGAUCAAACCUGCAUCCUCAUGGACACUAUGUCAUGUUCUUAACCCACGGAGCCGCAAUGGAAUCCACACACCUUCCUUUUUUGUUAAACUUUGGUACUCAAGUUCAUGUACAAGUUUGUGCUCUUAUGCAUUAGCCCCAUCCCCACCCAUAUACAAAGUUAAUUGCACCACAGGUGGUACAUUACUGUAAACACUCAAGUCAUUGACAAUCAGAUUCUUAAACUUUUGAUAAUUUAAACUAAAAGAUGGAAUCUGCAGUUACAUACACUUAAAUUAAAAGGUCUGUUAAAGUUAGGUUUAGAGCAGUGCAAAUAGUAAAGUGAGAGCAAGGCAAACACUUCAGAGAGAAUGAUGAUAGAGGGAAAUAAGAUGACAGGCCCCGAAGCCCCUUGUUGCUUGAGAAUGGUCUUGAUUCCUGGUAUUCUGAUGUUCAGUUUAGUUCCUUUUGAUCCUUACUCUUUUUUUUCCUUUUCUUGCUUGGAUUUUAUUUAAACAAAUAUUCAUUUACAUAAAUACCCC
rnacentral:lncRNA from 9 species